UACGUAGGGUGCAAGCGUUGUCCGGAAUUAUUGGGCGUAAAGAGCUCGUAGGCGGUUUGUCGCGUCUGCUGUGAAAACUCGGGGCUUAACCCCGGGCCUGCAGUGGGUACGGGCAGACUAGAGUGCGGUAGGGGAGACUGGAAUUCCUGGUGUAGCGGUGAAAUGCGCAGAUAUCAGGAGGAACACCGGUGGCGAAGGCGGGUCUCUGGGUCGUAACUGACGCUGAGGAGCGAAAGCGUGGGGAGCGAACAGG
rnacentral:rRNA from 1 species